rnacentral:tRNA from 2 species
GUGUUCUUAGCUCAGUUGGUUAGAGCAUCACCUUAACAUGGUGGGGAUAGGAGGUCCGAGUUCUCCAGAACACACCA